rnacentral:rRNA from 1 species
GACGAACGCUGGCGGCGUGCCUAAUACAUGCAAGUCGAACGCUUCUUUCCUCCCGAGUGCUUGCACUCAAUUGGAAAGAGGAGUGGCGGACGGGUGAGUAACACGUGGGUAACCUACCCAUCAGAGGGGGAUAACACUUGGAAACAGGUGCUAAUACCGCAUAACAGUUUAUGCCGCAUGGCAUAAGAGUGAAAGGCGCUUUCGGGUGUCGUUGAUGGAUGGACCCGCGGUGCAUUAGCUAGUUGGUGAGGUAACGGCUCACCAAGGCCACGAUGCAUAGCCGACCUGAGAGGGUGAUCGGCCACACUGGGACUGAGACACGGCCCAGACUCCUACGGGAGGCAGCAGUAGGGAAUCUUCGGCAAUGGACGAAAGUCUGACCGAGCAACGCCGCGUGAGUGAAGAAGGUUUUCGGAUCGUAAAACUCUGUUGUUAGAGAAGAACAAGGGCGUUAGUAACUGAACGUCCCCUGACGGUAUCUAACCAGAAAGCCACGGCUAACUACGUG